UUAGUUAUGAAAUAUAUUUCAAGAAAUUUUAUAUCUAGUUUUUUAAGAGUUUAAGUAUAAUGAAUAAUUUUUAUAAAAAUUAAUAUGGUUUAGCUUAUUAAUUUUAUAUAUUGUAAUAAUUUUAUAACUUUAGUAAAUUUGAUAGUGUUUAUUUUAUAAAUUUAUAAUGGAGGGUAAUAUGAAUAUAAAUUUUUAUUUAUUAUUGAUUUAUUAAAAAAUUUAUUAAAAUUUUAAAGUUUUAUUUAUAAUGAAAAAAUUAGUAAAAAUUUAUUUAUAUUUUAAAAUAUUUAAUAAGAUAUAUAAUGUUAUAAUUAUUAUAAAAAAUGAAUUCGGCAAAAAUUAUUAUUUGACUGUUUAGCAAAAACAUUGUUUCAUGAAAAAAAUAUGAAAUAAUGUCUGUCCACUGAUAUAUUUGAAGGACUGCAGUAUAUUGACUGUAUAAAAGUAGCAUAAUCAUUAGCUUUUUAAUUUGGGGUUGGUAUGAAGGCGAAACGGAUAAAUUCUUUAUUUUUUAUAAAUAUUUAAAUUUUAUUUUUAAGUGAAAAAUCUUAAUUAUUUGAGAGGGACAAGAAGACCCUAAUAAGUUUUAUUUUUCUUUUAUUUAUGUUAUAGGAAAUAAAAAUUAGAUAAUAUUAAAUUAGAAAUUUGAUUGGGGCGAUUAGUUAUAAAACAUAAUUAAAUUUUAAUUUUU
rnacentral:rRNA from 1 species